rnacentral:tRNA from 1 species
AGGGCUAUAGCUCAGUUGGUAGAGCAACUCGUUUACACCGAGUCCGUAUAGCCCUA